rnacentral:lncRNA from 1 species
UGGAUUCGGUCUUUUUUAUUACUUCGACAUUAUCGACACACUUGUCGAGAAGUCGUGAAGUUUUUGGGGCCGUUACCGGGGACUGUUGAUAUGUCAGCAAGGCAAUGCUUGUGCAACGUUUAGUUUUGUUUUUUGUUUACUUUUAUUUUUGUUUUCAAUUAUAAAUAUUUUUUUUUGUAAUUAGUUAUUUUUAUUUCUUCUUAAAUUUUAUUUCCUAUUCUUUCUCUUUUUAGUUUUUUU